CCCCUCCCUUCCCCUGAGCCCUCUCUCUGCACUACUUAGUACCAAACGUCCCCGCCGCUGCCCGAUUCCAGAGCGCCUUAGCAAACGCGAUCGGUUCUCAGUUGCGCUGGCACCUUGCUUACGUGUUAUUUGUGCAUUCUCAUGUGUCCUUGUUUCUACCCCUCCUGAGAAGCACCGUCUUACACCCGUGCCAGAGCCAAGUCCCAGAGGACGAGAUCCGGUGCCUCCAAAAUUCUUAAAGAUUUUGAAGAGAUUAAACGUGAUUUUCAAGUGACCUUUUGUGUUUUGUUUUGUCUUUGGAAAGUUUGGGGGAAGAAAAUUUCACUACGAAAUAAGAUAAGCUCUCUUCACAACAUCUCGAAAGAUAAUUUAAAAAAAAAAGUUAUUUAUGGGAAGUGGAGCAACACACGCCUUUAAACAUGAGUUUUUUUUUUUUUUAACCCUUUUCAUCCUUUUUCCAAUCUUAGUGAGAUUUGACCAUUGGGAACGUUAUCCUGAGUCGUGUCUUUUCGAAAAAUAAUGCUCACAGCUGGUUGAGGUCUAAGCGCUCAGUGAAAUAACACAGCGACC
rnacentral:lncRNA from 1 species